rnacentral:rRNA from 1 species
UACGUAGGGUGCAAGCGUUAAUCGGAAUUACUGGGCGUAAAGCGUGCGCAGGCGGUUGUGCAAGACCGAUGUGAAAUCCCCGGGCUCAACCUGGGAAUGGCAUUGGUGACUGCACGGCUAGAGUGUGUCAGAGGGGGGUAGAAUUCCACGUGUAGCAGUGAAAUGCGUAGAGAUGUGGAGGAAUACCGAUGGCGAAGGCAGCCCCCUGGGAUAACACUGACGCUCAUGCACGAAAGCGUGGGGAGCAAACAGGG